GCCUCAGUGGUGUAGUGGUAGAGCACACGUCCUCGGAUAGGAUGAAACGUGGGUUCGAUUCCCGCCUGAGGCC